rnacentral:lncRNA from 1 species
GAAGAACGUGGGUCACUGGAGGAAGAGCAGGAAGGAUGACGUGGCCGAGUGCAGUAAGCAAGAGGGGAGAUGGUACCAGAUGAAGCUGAGAAGAUGGGGAGAAGCCAGAUCACGCAGGGCCUCGUGGGCCACCGCAGAGAUUUUCAAUUUUAACUUAACACGAAUGGAGAGUCACAGAAGCGGGUUGGCUCCCCCCCCCCACUCCCCCACUUUCAAUACCUAGUAAAUGUCUACUCUGUACCAGACAUGGUGUGAGUGAAGACCAGAGAAGGGCCUUCAGAGGAAGAAUCUUAAUCAGUGGUGAAUCUCUUCUGGGUACUAAUUCCUAGGGCCGCUUCCGUGCCUUGCUUCCCAGCUCCACAUUCAGGGACAUCAUACUGAUGCUUUGAGCGGGCUACGGAAAAUCAGUAAGCACUACAGAUCAGGACGUCUCCCUCCGUGUGGCCCAGGAGAUGUUAUCCCCCAGCAGAGGCAAUUUGGGCUUCUGCCUUUCUCAUCCGGUUGCCCGCCUUUCCCUUCCUUCCCUCCCUCCCUCCCUCCUUCCUUCUCUUCCUUCCUCUUCCCCUUCCCCUUCUUCCUCCUAACUCCCCGGCUGCAGCCUCCGGUGCAGUGAGAACAGACGUGGCGGGAAUGGCCAUCGGGGUCCCGGUCCCGAUCUCCAGGGGAACGCUUUGGGUGUUUCGUCGUCAAGUCUGACGCUUGCUGUGGGUUUCUUCUUACCAGCUUGAGGAAGUGCUCUUCUGUCCCCGAGUUCUGGAGUGUUCUUGUUUCACGAAAGGGUGUUCAGUUCCCAGAACCACUGGCGGAGGAGACGGUUGCACCUGUGCGCGAAUCAGGCCUAAAGGCGGUGUGGGCGGGGCAUCAGCCACGUCGACGCGCCUGGCACAUUUAUGCCACGGAGGGCUCAGCCUGGUGCCAAGCUGGUCAAAAGGAGCGUGGGACGAAUUUUUGCAACUGAAUCACCAAUAUCCUUGAAGAGGCAUGAAUCCCGCGAUGUCAAGGACUACAGGCGUGUUGUCGGUUUGCAGGGGGACAAGAGCAAGGCUGGCUGCUUUCUGCUGAAGAGGAAAGUUGCCACGCCGGGUACUGGGCAGCUGAGUAUGCAACCUGGGCAAGCGUCCUCUCCUAAUAUUAGCCGUGGCCGAGGCAGGCCCGGCCAAGCACCUCACACACAUGAAAACGACCUCAGCUCCAGCUCAGGACAGAUCAAAGACUCAGGUCCCUAGGUGGGGAGGUGUCUUGGGUUGGACUCCCCCAGAAGAGGACCCUGAGGCAAGGAAUCGAAUCUCACAUGACUGUGAGAUCAUGACCUGAGCUGAAGUCGGACGCUUAACCGACGGAGCCACCCAGGCGCCCCGAACCCCUGCCUUUUAAUCUCCUUUCCCAGGGUUAAAAGCCUUGAUUUGAUGAUUGGGCAGCCCUGUGUUUAAGAAGGCCGAGUUGUCUGGGGGGGGUGCCUGGCUCAGUCGGUUAAUUGUCCGACUUUGGCUCAGGUCAUGAUCUCGGUUCGUGAGUUCGAGCCCCGCGUCGGGCUCUGUGCUGACAGCUCGGAGCCUAGAGCCUGUUUCAGAUUCUGUGUCUCCCUCUCUCUCUGCCCCUCCCCUGCUCACGCUCUGUCUCUCUCUGUCUCGAAAAUGAAUAAACAUUAGAAAAAUUUAAAGAAACA